rnacentral:rRNA from 1 species
AGGAUGAACGCUAGCGGCAGGCUUAACACAUGCAAGUCGAGGGGUAUAGUAGCAAUACUAGAGACCGGCGCACGGGUGCGUAACGCGUAUGUAACCUACCUUGAACAGGGGGAUAGCCCAGAGAAAUUUGGAUUAAUACCCCAUGGUAUAUUAGAAUGGCAUCAUUUUAUUAUUAAAGUCACAACGGUUCAAGAUGGGCAUGCGUCCCAUUAGCUUGUUGGUAAGGUAACGGCUUACCAAGGCAACGAU